UAUAGCGUUGGCGCAUCACAUAAAUAUAUUACGUAAGAUCAUAAUGUAUAGUGGCGGACAGUGAAUAACUCUUUAAUAUUUAGUGUAUGUGUACGAUACAGAAUGAUCUUAUCUGAAUUAUCAGCCACCACGAUUUUUAAGCAAGAGUGUCUGAUGGUGAGCGUACAGGCAUUUAAAAAAUCUGUUAUUUAAAUAAAUUAGCUAAUUCGAAGUUUGUUAUAUGAAUCUAAUUUGAACUAAUCACUUUUGUUCCUAAACAAAUUCUCAUUUGUUGACAUUCUAUUGACAGUAUGAAAUAUUCUAGACACCGCCAUAGUCAUCUAAUCCUAAUCACUCAAACUCUAUUCAUAUAUGUGGCAUAUUUUAUGUCAUAAUUGUAGUUCAGGUGCCGAGAGCUAAUUUAUAUUGUAAUCAGGCAACCUGGUUUAUAUCGAAAUCAACAAAGGAAUAUCCCCCUAAGAAAGAAGUUAGUCGUCAGCCACUCUAGUUUCAGUGGAGGAGUUCUAACCACGCAAUAUCGGAUAACAUUGCAUAAUGCGUCACGUGGUCAGAAUGGACCAGCAUUACUAUUAUCAAAAACGAUCGGUAGUAAACAGCGGAUACAUAAAAUGAUAUAGUACAGAUAGUACAACUUCUAUUGUUGCGUAUUGCUUUGAACUCCACUCACUGCCUUGUUUAUCACACCACAGUGGCUGCCCGACGUAUGUCUCUACAACAUGCCGGUGAUCGCUCCGGUCUUCGUUGUACUGUUCUUCAUUUUCUGCGUGGUUGCUGGAAAUUAUUGGUGCUAAAGAUGUUCCUUUAGCUGGCCUUAUUUUUCAACAGGAAACUCCGCCAUGCCUCCAUCUCCAAAACUGCGAUAGGCCCUCAAGGUCAACUUCCGCUGAACAUUCCAAACUUCUGAUACUAAUAAGCAUCAAGAACUUUUACACAUCACCACUUACUGUUAAUUUAUUACAAAUAAAUAUGAAGUAAUCAAGUU